GUGGGGAAUUUUGGACAAUGGGCGCAAGCCUGAUCCAGCAAUGCCGCGUGCAGGAAGAAGGCCUUCGGGUUGUAAACUGCUUUUGUACGGAACGAAACGGUCCUGGUUAAUACCUGGGGCUAAUGACGGUACCGUAAGAAUAAGCACCGGCUAACUACGUGCCAGCAGCCGCGGUAAUACGUAGGGUGCGAGCGUUAAUCGGAAUUACUGGGCGUAAAGCGUGCGCAGGCGGUGCUGUAAGACAGGCGUGAAAUCCCCGGGCUCAACCUCGGAAUUGCGCUUGGGACUGGAGUGGUGGAGUACGGCAGAGGGGGAUGGAAUUCCGCGUGUAGCAGUGAAAUGCGUAGAUAUGCGGAGGAACACCGAUGGCGAAGGCAGUCCCCUGGGCCUGUACUGACGCUCAUGCACGAAAGCGUGGGGAGCAAACAGGAUUAGAUACCCGUGUAGUCC
rnacentral:rRNA from 1 species